GACGAACGCUGGCGGCGUGCUUAACACAUGCAAGUCGAACGGAAAGGCCCUGCUUUUGUGGGGUGCUCGAGUGGCGAACGGGUGAGUAACACGUGAGUAACCUGCCCUUGACUUUGGGAUAACUUCAGGAAACUGGGGCUAAUACCGGAUAGGAGCUCCUGCUGCAUGGUGGGGGUUGGAAAGUUUCGGCGGUUGGGGAUGGACUCGCGGCUUAUCAGCUUGUUGGUGGGGUAGUGGCUUACCAAGGCUUUGACGGGUAGCCGGCCUGAGAGGGUGGCCGGCCACAUUGGGACUGAGAUACGGCCCAGACUCCUACGGGAGGCAGCAGUGGGGAAUAUUGCACAAUGGGCGGAAGCCUGAUGCAGCAACGCCGCGUGCGGGAUGACGGCCUUCGGGUUGUAAACCGCUUUCGCCUGUGACGAAGCGUGAGUGACGGUAAUGGGUAAAGAAGCACCGGCUAACUACGUGCCAUCAGCCGCGGUGAUACGUAGGGUGCGAGCGUUGUCCGGAUUUAUUGGGCGUAAGGGGCUCGUAGGUGGUUGAUCGCGUCGGAAGUGUAAUCUUGGGGCUUAACCCUGAGCGUGCUUUCGAUACGGGUUGACUUGAGGAAGGUAGGGGAGAAUGGAAUUCCUGGUGGAGCGGUGGAAUGCGCAGAUAUCAGGAGGAACACCAGUGGCGAAGGCGGUUCUCUGGGCCUUUCCUGACGCUGAGGAGCGAAAGCGUGGGGAGCGAACAGGCUUAGAUACCCUUGGUAGUCCACGCUGUAAACGGUGGGUACUAGGUGUGGGGUCCAUUCCACGGGUUCCGUGCCGUAGCUAACGCUUUAAGUACCCCGCCUGGGGAGUACGGCCGCAAGGCUAAAACUCAAAGGAAUUGACGGGGCCCCGCACAAGCGGCGGAGCAUGCGGAUUAAUUCGAUGCAACGCGUAGAACCUUACCUGGGUUUGACAUGGAUCGGAAGCGCUCAGAGAUGGGUGUGCCUCUUUUGGGGUCGGUUCACAGGUGGUGCAUGGCUGUCGUCAGCUCGUGUCGUGAGAUGUUGGGUUAAGUCCCGCAACGAGCGCAACCCUUGUUCACUGUUGCCAGCACGUUAUGGUGGGGACUCAGUGGAGACCGCCGGGGUCAACUCGGAGGAAGGUGGGGAUGACGUCAAGUCAUCAUGCCCCUUAUGUCCAGGGCUUCACGCAUGCUACAAUGGCUGGUACAGAGAGUGGCGAGCCUGUGAGGGUGAGCGAAUCUCGGAAAGCCGGUCUCAGUUCGGAUUGGGGUCUGCAACUCGACCUCAUGAAGUCGGAGUCGCUAGUAAUCGCAGAUCAGCAACGCUGCGGUGAAUACGUUCCCGGGGCU
rnacentral:rRNA from 1 species